rnacentral:pre_miRNA from 1 species
GGGGGAGCCCCAGAUCCUGGGCUGUGUCCCACAGUGCCCUGGGCUCCUGGGCCCGAGCCACUGGAAUUGUGCUCCGGGGACCGCGCAGCCCCCU